GUYUUUUUGUUAAAAAUUUAAAGUCGGGCCUGCCCACUGAAACUUUAAAUGGCCGUGGUAUUUUGACCGKGCUAAGGUAGCAUAAUCAUUAGUUUUUUAAUUGAAAGCUGGAAUGAAAGGUUUGAUAAAAAAAUGACUGUCUCUAUUUAAUUUUAUUAGAAAUUUAUUUUUAAGUUCAAAAGCUUAAUUUUUAUUAAAAGACGAGAAGACCCUAUAGAGUUUAAUAAUUUAAGGUAAUUUAUAUUUUAGAAUUAAUUUAUUUAUUUUUUAAUAUUAUUUAAUUGGGGUGAUUGAAAAAUUUAAUUAACUUUUUUUAUAUUUAACCAUUAAUUUAUGAUAAUUUGAUCCAAUUUUUUGAUUAUAAGAUAAAAUUACCUUAGGGAUAACAGCGUAAUUUUUUUARAAAGUUCAAAUUAAAARAAAARAUUGSGACCUCGAUGUUGGAUUAAAAUUAAAUUUUGGUGUARAAGCUAAAAAUUUUAAGUCUGUUCGACUUUUAAAAUUUUACA
rnacentral:rRNA from 1 species